GGGACACGUAGUUGCAAACCUAGCGACUUUGUUGUUAGAUUCAAUGACUUUUCAGACCCCCUAACGACUUUUUUUUAGAAAGAAAGGGACUUUUAUCGACUUCUUCUGGAGUUUAGAGACUCUGACAUGAAGCAGGCUUUCCUUACUGAGGAGUUAGCAACGCUGCUAAGGGUGCAGAGCCACACAUGCGCUCAGAGCUCUGCAUGGGAGACUGAAGCUGACAGAGCUGCAGCAGUUAGCAGGUUUCACCCUCAGAGACCACCAGGGGUUCAUGUUGAGGCAUUUUAAUUUUUUUUUUUUUUUGUGCCAUAGACACUGUCAGCACAAUCUGCAGUUACACUAACAAAAAUGCUGCAAAAAACAAAGAAUUAUGGAAAAAUUACACAUGGACUGACAUAGAGGAGGAUCUACACAAGUUUUUUACAUCAUGUUUUACAUCAUGCAUCAUUUACAUCAUGUUUUUUUGUAGUGGCAUAAAUAAAAAGUGACAUUUGUGAGACUAUACAGUGUUUUGUAAAUAAUUUUACAAAGAACGCCUGGGCCAUUGCCUGCAUUUUGAUGUAAAUAGAGGUAAAUCACUAUGUUCUUUGUUAAAAAUUUGCAUAUGUUUUGAAGUUUACAAUUUUUAUUUGAAGUUUAAGUUUUAAAAACAGUUCAUCACACAUAUUUGUGGUUUUCACAGUAAAAAUGUUACUUUUUUCCACUCUGAUUUUAUGUUUUGUGUGUGAAUUUGGGUCCAUUGUGUAAAUUCAGUAUGUCAACAUGAUAAAAUAACUGUAAAUUCGCACAGGUGAGGUUGUGCUGAAAAAAAAUGAUACCAGGCAAGGCACGUGAUUGUCAAAUUUUGUGUCAUUAUGACAAAGCAUAUAGGCGUGAAUCUCAACAAUAUGUAUUUUCACCUUAGGGGACAAGAAAAAAUGGACUUUUUUCUCCUGCCAUGGGGGGCGCUCUUUUGGGGAGUAAAAAUUCCUUCACAAAUGUGUUGAUGGCUGGACAUUGCAUCAUCCUAGAAAACUUGGAGGCCAGUGAGGACAAAAAUAAAAAGUUAUAAGACUUUUAAAUAUGUGGAUUUUAGGGUUGUCUUUGGCGCCCCCUAGAACCUAAACCGUGGGGUGCAGCGUCAUGAUUUGAAUAACUUUUAAUGGCCAUGGGGUGUAGAUUGGCCUGAGCAAAUGUGGUGCCGGUGGAACGAAAGCCUUAGGAGGAGUUAGCCACAUUCCAAUGUGUGCGGAUCGGCAAAAAAUGCGGAAUAACCCUUUAACCGUACAUUUGACAGAUACGCGCGCAUUGACUUUUUCGUAGAUCUUAUUGAGUUACAUGUGUGUGUCAAUUUUUGUGUCAUUUUGACAAAGCGUAUAGGCGUGACACUCAACAAUGUGUAUUUUCACCUUAGGGGACAAGAAAAAAUGGACUUUUUUCUCCUGCCAUGGGGGGGCGCUCUUUUGGGGAGUAAAAAUUCCUUCACAAAUGUGUUGAUGGCUGGACAUUGCAUCAUCCUAGAAAACUUGGAGGCCAGUGAGGACAAAAAUAAAAAGUUAUAAGACUUUUAAAUAUGUGGAUUUUAGGGUUAUCUUUGGCGCCCCCUAGAACCUAAACCUUGGGGUGCAGCGUCAUGAUUUUGAUAACUUUUAAUGGACACGGGGUGAAGAUUGGCCUGAGCAAAUGUGGUGCCGGUGGAACGAAAGCCUUCGGAGGAGUUAGCGAAAUUCCAAUGUGUGCGGAUCGGCAAAAAAUGCGAAAUAACCCUUUAACCGUACAUUUGACAGAUACGCCCGCACUGACUUUUUUGUAGAUCUUAUUGAGAUACAUGUGUGUGUCAAUUUUUGUGUCAUUUUGACAAAGCGUACACGCGUGACAGUCAAUAGUGUGAAUUUUCACCUUAGGGGACAAGAAAAAAUGGACUUUUUUCUCCUGCCAUGGGGGGGCGCUCUUUUGGGGAGUAAAAAUUCCUUCACAAAUGUGUUGAUGGCUGGACAUUGCAUCAUCCUAGAAAACUUGGAGGCCAGUGAGGACAAAAAUAAAAAGUUAUAAGACUUUUAAAUAUGUGGAUUUUAGGGUUAUCUUUGGCGCCCCCUAGAACCUAAACCUUGGGGUGCAGCGUCAUGAUUUUGAUAACUUUUAAUGGCCACGGGGUGUAGAUUGGCCUGAGCAAAUGUGGUGCCGGUGGAACGAAAGCCUUCGGAGGAGUUAGCGAAAUUCCAAUGUGUGCGGAUCGGCAAAAAAUGCGAAAUAACCCUUUAACCGUACAUUUGACAGAUACGCCCGCACUGACUUUUUUGUAGAUCUUAUUGAGAUACAUGUGUGUGUCAAUUUUUGUGUCAUUUUGACAAAGCGUACACGCGUGACAGUCAAUAGUGUGAAUUUUCACCUUAGGGGGCGCUAUGGAGCCAUUUUGCAUUUUCUUGUUUUGGCGACUUCAGAAUAUCAAAUUUUUCACCAGGCCCGGUCGUCCUGCCAAAUUUCCUGAGUUUUCGCCAGUGGGAAGUGGGCCAUUUUCCAGUUCAAAGGGGAGGAAAAAGAAGAAAGAAAGAAACAAAGAAAAACCCCUACAGGAAUAACAGGGCCUACGCCCGGCUGCUCUGCAGCUGGCUCGGGCCCUAACUAGGACCCCGUUGGGGCACUGGCGGGCCCGAGCCGUGUCGCGUCCCCCCCCCCCCCCCACCCCCCCACCCCCCAACAUGCUGCCUCCCCGUCCCAUUUGUGUCCUCUGGCCAUCGCCCUCUCUGGUAACGCCCAUCACUGCAAAGACCCUUUUCCUUCAUCGGCGUUUGCUGUUCUUCCUGCCAGUGCGUGUUGCUUUCACUUACACUUGCCACAGCCAGCCUCGUGAGUGCCUAGCCUAUUGGAUAUCACUGUCACCUACACAGGACAGUCAUUACCUUUCUAUUAAUACUUUGUGUUUUAAUUUCACAUUAAUUUCCAUAUUGUAUAAACGACUGGAAAAAACUUGAGCCCCUGCCCCUGUAUAAUCAUGUGCAUGUCUCUGUUCUAGCUCCAAGGUGAAUCUUCACUGCUCAUGUUCUCCUCAGAAGCACUCACCUCACUCCCCUCAGGUUACUGUACACAUGCACCAACUGCCUGCUUCAGGUUUGGAUGGAGCUUCAUGGUUGUCUUUUGGAGAAAUGACCAGUCAAGUUGUGUUUGAAAUUUGAUUUUUUUCAGGGGCAAAAGGAGCCUCUGCAUUCUUGUCAAAUAUGUAAAUAGCAUGUUUUUGCAGGUGCUAAAAACCAGACUCUGAGUGUGUGUGUGUGUGUGUGUGUGUGUGUGUGUGCGUGUGUGUGUGUCUGUGUGUGCGUUCAAGUCACAUGACAUAUUUAAUCGGAUGUAGCUGCAAGACGGAGCCUCGUUGACUCUCCGUUUCAACUUAUCUCAAAAGUGAGGACCUCAACCUAUAUACCAGUUUUUAAAUUGUGUUGAUAGGCCAAAUAAAACCAGAGUUAUGAUAAAUUAUGUCCGCGAUACUUUUUUUCUGCUUAUUUUGAUCACGUUCGGCGCUCGAUCGCGCUGUAUGAGACAGGAAAACAUAGCAUGCAGACAUUAGCGACAGGUCUUACAGGCGGAAAAGGCUUGCCAAAAGAAAAAAAAAACACACCACAACAUCUCUCCUAUUGGUGGAAAACUUCACCACAACAACCAAUCCAAAAUUAUAUGGUGACUGAUUGACAAGGGGCGGGCGCUUACGUUCUUCCUGCAACAUGAGAAGGGAGGGAGGGACUCUCAGCAGGGAUGCAGUCUGGGACACGUAGUUGCAAACCUAGCGACUUUGUUGUUAGAUUCAAUGACUUUUCAGACCCCCUAACGACUUUUUUUUAGAAAGAAAGGGACUUUUAUCGACUUCUUCUGGAGUUUAGAGACUCUGACAUGAAGCAGGCUUUCCUUACUGAGGAGUUAGCAACGCUGCUAAGGGUGCAGAGCCACACAUGCGCUCAGAGCUCUGCAUGGGAGACUGAAGCUGACAGAGCUGCAGCCGUUAGCAGGUUUCACCCUCAGAGACCACCAGGGGUUCAUGUUGAGGCAUUUUAAAUUUUUUUUUUUUGUGCCAUAGACACUGUCAGCACAAUCUGCAGUUACACUAACAAAAAUGCUGCAAAAAACAAAGAAUUAUGGAAAA